AGUCGAGCGAAUGGAUUAAGAGCUUGCUCUUAUGAAGUUAGCGGCGGACGGGUGAGUAACACGUGGGUAACCUGCCCAUAAGACUGGGAUAACUCCGGGAAACCGGGGCUAAUACCGGAUAACAUUUUGAACUGCAUGGUUCGAAAUUGAAAGGCGGCUUCGGCUGUCACUUAUGGAUGGACCCGCGUCGCAUUAGCUAGUUGGUGAGGUAACGGCUCACCAAGGCAACGAUGCGUAGCCGACCUGAGAGGGUGAUCGGCCACACUGGGACUGAGACACGGCCCAGACUCCUACGGGAGGCAGCAGUAGGGAAUCUUCCGCAAUGGACGAAAGUCUGACGGAGCAACGCCGCGUGAGUGAUGAAGGCUUUCGGGUCGUAAAACUCUGUUGUUAGGGAAGAACAAGUGCUAGUUGAAUAAGCUGGCACCUUGACGGUACCUAACCAGAAAGCCACGGCUAACUACGUGCCAGCAGCCGCGGUAAUACGUAGGUGGCAAGCGUUAUCCGGAAUUAUUGGGCGUAAAGCGCGCGCAGGUGGUUUCUUAAGUCUGAUGUGAAAGCCCACGGCUCAACCGUGGAGGGUCAUUGGAAACUGGGAGACUUGAGUGCAGAAGAGGAAAGUGGAAUUCCAUGUGUAGCGGUGAAAUGCGUAGAGAUAUGGAGGAACACCAGUGGCGAAGGCGACU
rnacentral:rRNA from 1 species